rnacentral:rRNA from 1 species
AACGAACGCUGGCGGCGUGCUUAACACAUGCAAGUCGAACGAGAAAGUCCUUCGGGAUGAGUAGAGUGGCGCACGGGUGAGUAAUGCAUGGGAACGUGCCUUUAGGUUGGGAAUAACCAGACGAAAGUCUGGCUAAUACCGAAUAAUCUCGCGAGAGUAAAGUUGGCCUCUGAAUAUGCUAGCGCCUAUAGAUCGGCCCAUGUCCCAUUAGCUUGUUGGUGAGGUAAAGGCUCACCAAGGCGACGAUGGGUAGCUGGUCUGAGAGGAUGAUCAGCCACACUGGAACUGAGACACGGUCCAGACUCCUACGGGUGGCAG